UUGGAGGGCAAGUCUGGUGCCAGCAGCCGCGGUAAUUCCAGCUCCAAUAGCGUAUAUUAAAGUUGUUGCAGUUAAAAAGCUCGUAGUUGAAUUUCGGGAUCAAUGUUUCGGUCAUGCCGUUGGUAUGUACUGAUAUUAUUGGUUUCUCACCUUCUAAAGAAUCAUAAUGCCAUUAAUUUGGUGUUUUGGGGAAUCAGGACUGUUACUUUGAAAAAAUUAGAGUGUUUAAAGCAGGCUCACGCUUGAAUACAUUAGCAUGGAAUAACGGAAUAGGACGUUUGAUUCUAUUUUGUUGGUUUCUAGGAUCGACGUAAUGAUUAAUAGGGAUAGUUGGGGGCAUUAGUAUUCAAUUGUCAGAGGUGAAAUUCUUGGAUUUAUUGAAGACUAACUACUGCGAAAGCAUUUGCCAAGGAUGUUUUCAUUAAUCAAGAACGAAAGUUAGGGGAUCGAAGACGAUCAGAUACCGUCGUAGUCUUAACCAUAAACUAUGCCGACUAGGGAUCGGAUGAUGUUAAUUUUAAUGACUCAUUCGGCGCCUUACGGGAAAC
rnacentral:rRNA from 1 species